CUGAAACUCGCCUAUAUGAAGUCGGAAUUGCUAGUAAUCGCGGAUCAGCAUGCCGCGGUGAAUACGUUCCCGGGCCUUGUACACACCGCCCGUCACACCNUGAGAGUCGAUAACACCCGAAGCCUGUAGUCUAACCUUAGGGGGGACGCAGUCGAAGGUGGGAUUGAUAAUUAGGGUGAAGUCGUAACAAGGUACC
rnacentral:rRNA from 1 species